rnacentral:rRNA from 1 species
UACCAGCACCCCGAGUGGUCGGGACGGAUUAUUGGGCCUAAAGCAUCCGUAGCCGGUUACUGCAAGUCCCCCGUUAAAUCCAGCUAGCCUCAACAGAUGGGCCGCGGAGGAUACUACAGAGCUAGGAGGCAGGAGAGGCAAGCGGUACUCAGUGGGUAGGGGUAAAAUCCGUUGAUCCAUUGAAGAACACCGGUGGCGAAGGCGGUCUGCUGGGCAGUGGCUCCGCAAGGGCCAAACUAGCCGACGACUGAGGCGCGACAGCGUGGGGAGCAAACAGG